AGCGAACGCUGGCGGUAGGCUUAACACAUGCAAGUCGAGCGGGCCUUUCGGGGUCAGCGGCGGACGGGUGAGUAACGCGUGGGAACGUGCCCUCUGGUUCGGAAUAACUCAGGGAAACUUGAGCUAAUACCGGAUACGCCCUUUUGGGGAAAGGCUUGCUGCCGGAGGAUCGGCCCGCGUCUGAUUAGCUAGUUGGUGAGGUAACGGCUCACCAAGGCGACGAUCAGUAGCUGGUCUGAGAGGAUGAUCAGCCACACUGGGACUGAGACACGGCCCAGACUCCUACGGGAGGCAGCAGUGGGGAAUAUUGGACAAUGGGCGCAAGCCUGAUCCAGCCAUGCCGCGUGAGUGAUGAAGGCCUUAGGGUUGUAAAGCUCUUUUAUCCGGGACGAUAAUGACGGUACCGGAGGAAUAAGCCCCGGCUAACUUCGUG
rnacentral:rRNA from 1 species